rnacentral:rRNA from 1 species
GAGGGGAACUCAGGGAACUGAAACAUCUAAGUACCUGAAGGAAGAGAAAGAAAUUCGAUUCCGUAAGUAGCGGCGAGCGAACGCGGAUUAGCCCAAACCAAUAAAGUUUUCUUUGUUGGGGUUGCGGACAUAUCAUAACGAAGAGGUAUCGUAAUUGAAGAGGUUUGGAAAGACCCACCACAGAAGGUAAUAGUCCUGUAUGUUAAACGAGAAGACUUUAGAUAUGAUCCAGAGUACCACGGGACACGUGAAACCCUGUGGGAAGCAGGAGGGACCACCCUCCAAGGCUAAAUACUACCUAGUGACCGAUAGCGUAUAGUACCGUGAGGGAAAGGUGAAAAGAACCCCGGGAGGGGAGUGAAAUAGAACCUGAAACCCUGCACUUACAAGCUGUGGAAGCACAUUUCUUGUGUGACCGCGUACUUUUUGUAGAACGGGCCAACGAGUUACGU